GGCACUGCCCGGUAGCUAAAUGCGGAAGAGAUAAGUGCUGAAAGCAUCUAAGCACGAAACUUGCCCCGAGAUGAGUUCUCCCUGAGACUAUAAGUCUCCUGAAGGAACGUUGAAGACGACGACGUUGAUAGGCCGGGUGUGUAAGCGCAGCGAUGCGUUGAGCUAACCGGUACUAAUGAACCGUGAGGCUUAACCUUACAA
rnacentral:rRNA from 1 species